AUUGAACGCUGGCGGCAGGCUUAACACAUGCAAGUCGAGCGAGUGGCGGACGGGUGAGUAAUGCCUGGGAAACUGCCUGAUGGAGGGGGAUAACUACUGGAAACGGUAGCUAAUACCGCAUACUAUCAGAUGUCCCCAGAUGGGAUUAGCUAGUAGGUGGGGUAAUGGCUCACCUAGGCGACGAUCCCUAGCUGGUCUGAGAGGAUGACCAGCCACACUGGGACUGAGACACGGUCCAGACUCCUACGGGAGGCAGCAGUGGGGAAUAUUGCACAAUGGGCGCAAGCCUGAUGCAGCCAUGCCGCGUGUGUGAAGAAGGCCUUCGGGUUGUAAAGCACUUUCAGCGAGGAGGCGUUACUCGCAGAAGAAGCACCGGCUAACUCCGUGCCAGCAGCCGCGGUAAUUC
rnacentral:rRNA from 1 species